UUCUGUUUUGUUGGAAAGAUAAUAAUCUUCCGUCUUUAAGCAGGGCCUUUCGAUUUUUUCAUUAUUAUAUAAUUUCAUGUAAAUAUGUACGGUUUGGUUAUAGUUAAACAAUAUCAAACGUAAUAAAUGAACGCUCUGUUUACAUUUUUGACACUGAUGAAUGUACUGAUCGUAGUAACAGUUUUGAUGUAAAUGCUGAAUGUAAGAAUACUGUUGGAAGCUUUACGUGCACUUGCAAAGAAGGCUACUCUGUUAACGGAAGAACAUGCUCAGACAUUGAUGAAUGUACUGAAGAUAGUAACAACUGUGACGUAAAUGCAGAAUGUACAAAUACAAUUGGAAGCUUUAUCUGCACUUGCAAUAAGGGCUACUCUGGUAAUGGAACAACAUGCUUAGUUGCUAUCGGAGGU
rnacentral:lncRNA from 1 species